CCCAGUCGUGAAGCCCAGUCGUCAAAUGGAGGUCUAGAAAUUUCUCGCUAGCUCGUAGCUUGAGAAACAUCUUUCUUUCUCUCUUUCUUUCUUUUUUUUCUUGACUGUGUUGACUUCAUCGAAGGUUCUUGUGCAAAACAUCUCCCAUACAUCAUUUGAAGUCAUGCGCAGCUUUAUUCUAUGCAUCAUACCUUGGAUGUGUUUCACUAUUUAACUGACAGCAAUGAGCUCAAAAAUCAUCCUGGUCUUUAUUUUUGUGACCAUUGUGUGUGUAUGUUGCCCUGUGAUGGACACGGGUCCCAUCACGCCCAGUGUUCCAGAGCCACCGUUACCCUGACCAGGAUAAAGCACUUACUGAAUAUGGAUGGAUGAAUGAAUGAGCUGCGCCUGGAGGAGACCAUCGGCUGGAUUUUCAAAAGCAGUAUCUAAUAAGACAUAAACACACCUGAAUAUUUUAGCAUAUUUCAAUAUUUUUUAUUAAGUAUGAAUGCAGUUAUUCUACCAAUUACAACAGUACUUACAAGAAAACAACACAUUACUGAGACAGAAUUUUGAAAGAAAUUAGAAGUUCUGAAAUAAUCAAGGAAAAACUGUCAGUGCUUUUGUCAUGUUGUGAUUAAAGAAGACGAUA